ACACGCCUUGACGCACAUUAUUAUUAUUAUUAUUAUUAUUAUUAUAAGCUCAAAUGAUUAAAUUUUGGGCUUCGGCACAAAACGCAUGUUCGCGCUACUUUUGUAUAGCUUAGCGUAGGUUAAUAUGGAUUUGUAAUUAUGAAUCCUUGAAUUCCAGAAAAUUUUGAUUCAUUGAAGACAGAGCGCCAAGCUGGUAGUACCACAUCACCAUGUGCGUCAGAGCACAGAAGGAAUAAAGGUAUCCACAAAGAGUUUGUUCAAAGGAGGUCAUGGACUACCCCAGAGAAGGAACUGGUUACACCAUUAUGUGAUUUUCAGACUUUUACAUUGCCCAGUUUGCAUGAAUGUAGCAAACUUGUACAUGCACAUCCUGAAUUAAAAAACAGAACUCCUGAACAAAUUAAAAGCUGGGUGUCUAACCAGUAUAAAGUCAAAACACCAAGAAAUAAAAAGAAAGUGGAAACUUGGAGUUCAACAGAGAAAAGAGAUUUGAAGCAGGCAUUUGCAUCAUAUAUUGACAACUACACUAUACCUGGACUUCCAUAUAUACAAAAAGUAAAACUACAA